GCGCCCUUAGCUCAGCUGGAUAGAGCAGCAGCCUUCGAAGCUGACGGUCGAGGGUUCGAAUCCCUCAGGGCGCACCA
rnacentral:tRNA from 1 species